GGACCUGUAGCUCAGUCUGGUCCAGAGCUACCGGCUCAUAACCGGUUGGUCGUAGGUUCAAAUCCUACCAGGUCCACCA
rnacentral:tRNA from 1 species